rnacentral:rRNA from 1 species
UACGUAGGAUGCAAGCGUUGUCCGGAAUUAUUGGGCGUAAAGAGCGCGCAGGCGGUCAAACAAGUCAGAUGUGAAAUAUCCGGGCUUAACCCGGAGGGGUCAUUUGAAACUGUUUAACUAGAGUACAGCAGAGGAUAGCGGAAUUCCCGGUGUAGUGGUGAAAUGCGUAGAUAUCGGGAGGAACACCAGUGGCGAAGGCGGCUAUCUGGGCUGAAACUGACGCUGAGGCGCGAAAGCGUGGGGAGCAAACAGG